rnacentral:rRNA from 1 species
AACGAACGCUGGCGGCAGGCUUAACACAUGCAAGUCGAGCGCCCCGCAAGGGGAGCGGCAGACGGGUGAGUAACGCGCGGGAAUCUACCCAUCUCUACGGAAUAACGCAUGGAAACGUGUGCUAAUACCGUAUACGUCCUUCGGGAGAAAGAUUUAUCGGAGAUGGAUGAGCCCGCGUUGGAUUAGCUAGUUGGUGGGGUAAAGGCCUACCAAGGCGACGAUCCAUAGCUGGUCUGAGAGGAUGAUCAGCCAAACUGGGACUGAGACACGGCCCAGACUCGUACGGCAGGCAGCAGUGGGGAAUAUUGGACAAUGGGCGCAAGCCUGAUCCAGCCAUGCCGCGUGAGUGAUGAAGGCCCUAGGGUUGUAAAGCUCUUUCACCGGUGAAGAUAAUGACGGUAACCGGAGAAGAAGCCCCGGCUAACUUCGUGCCAGCAGCCGCCGUAACAC